rnacentral:tRNA from 1 species
UGGGGUAUCGCCAAGCGGUAAGGCAGGGGACUUUGACUCCCUAAUUCCUCGGUUCAAAUCCGAGUACCCCAG